rnacentral:lncRNA from 1 species
AAAUAACACAUAUGGAAUCAUGUAGUAACCAAAAAAGUGUUAAACAAAUCAAAAUAUAUUACAUUUUUUUAGAUAAUUCAAAGUUGCCACCCUUUGCCUUGAUGACAGCUUUGCACACUUGGCAUUCUCUCAACCAGCUUCACCUGGAAUGCUUUUACAACAGUCUUGAAGGAGUUCCCACAUAUGUUGAGCACUUGUUGGCUGCUUUUCCUUCACUCUGGGGUCCAACUUAUCCCAAACCAUCUCAAUUGGGUUGAGGUCGGGGGAUUGUGGAGGCCAGGCCAUCUGAUGCAGCACUCCAUCACUCUCCUUCCUUACACAGCUUGGAGGUAUGUUGGGUCAUUGUCCUGUUGAAAAACAAAUGAUAGUCCCACUGAGCCCAAACCAGAGGGGAUGGCGUAUCGCUGCAGAAUUCUGUGGUAGCAAUGCUGGUUAAGUGUGCCUUGAAUUCUAAAUAAAUCACAUACAGUGUCACCAGCAAAGCACCCCCACACCAUAACACCACCUCCUCCAUGCUUUACGGUGGGAAAUACACAUGCAGAGAUCAUCCAUUCACCCACACCGCGUCUCACAAAGACACGGCGGUUGGAACCAAAAAUCUCCAAUUUGGACUCCAGACCAAAGGAUACAUUUCCACCGGUCUAAUGUCCAUUGCUCAUGUUUCUUGUCCCAAGCAAGUCUCUUUUUCUUAUUGGUGUCCUUUAGUAGUGGUUUCAUUGCAGCAAUUAAACCAUGAAGGCCUGAUUCACACAGUUUCCUCUGAACAGUUGAUGUUGAGAUAGAUGUGUCUGUUACUGUGAAGCAUUUAUUUGGGCUGCAAUUUCUGAGGCUGGUAACUCUAAUGAACAUAUCCUCUGCAGCAGAGGUAACUCUGGGUCUUCCUUUCCUGUGGCGGUCCUCAUGAGAGCCAGUUUCAUCAUAGUGCUUGAUGGUUUUUGUGACUGCACUUCAAGAAACUUUCAAAGUUCUUGACUGACCUACAUGUCUUAAAGUAAUGAUGGACUGUCAUUUCUCUUUGCUUAUUUGAGCUGUUCUUGCCAUAAUAUGGACUAGGUAUUUUACCAAAUAGGGCUAUCUUCUGUAUACCCCCCACCUAGUCACAACACAACUGAUUGGCUCAAACACAUUGAGGAAAGAAGUUCCACAAAUGAACUUUUAAGAAGGCACACCUGUUAACUAAAAUGCAUUCCAGGUGACUACCUCAUGAAGUUGGUUGAGAGAAUGCCAAGAGUGUGCAAAGCUGUCAUCAAAGCAAAGGGUUGCUAUUUGAAGAAUCUCAAAUAUAAAAUAUAUUUUGAUUUGUUUAAACCUUUUUUGGUUACUACAUGAUUCCAUAUGUGUUAUUUCACAGUUUUGAUGUAUUCACUAUUAUUCUACAAUGUAGAAAAUAGUACAAAUAAAGAAAAACCCUUGAAUGAGUAGGUGUUCUUAAACUUUUGACCGGUUGUGUGUAUAUAAAUAUAUAUACUUUAUUAUGUUACAUACUGUGAUUUUGCAGACACAGGGUUGAUCAUAAUCAUGUGGCAUUUCAAUAUAGCUGAAAUUGUAUUUUUGUUGUUGUUGCAUUACCACAUUAUCCUGAAGUGUUUUGGCCCAAUGGCAGCCCUGGCACUUGGGUGUGGAAUAAAGAGAAAUAGAACUACUCUCACAUCAACAGCUGUAACCUACUAAGCCCACGUGGCAUAUAAGAUAUUAUUCAAGAAUCAACAGAUAUAUCAGGUUUGAAGGACCCAGGUACAGGAUGGCAGACAGGCUCAGGGUCAGGGCAGGCAGAGGUCGGUAAUCCAGAGUAGUGGGGCAAAGGUACAGGACGGCAGGCAGGCUCAGAGCAGGCAGAAAGGUCAAAACCGGGAAAACUAGGAAACGGGCGCUAUAAACAGGACAUGAGCAAGGGGAAAACCGCUGGUAGGUCUUAAUGAACAAAACGAACUGGCAACAGACAAACCGAGAAGACAGGUAUAAAUACACGGGAUAAUGGGGAAGAUGGAGGGGGUGGAGACAAUCACAAAGACAGGUGAAACAGAUCAGGGUGUGACAAGGGGCUUAUUAAAAUUACUAUUCAACAGCAUUGAAUAUCUCAGAUUGUACCUUUUAAUAAAAAUGAAUGUGUCAGCUGCAUGUAUUUUUUCUUCAUACUGUACAAAAAAGGAG